GUAGGUGGCAAGCGUUGUCCGGCUUUACUGGGUGUAAAGGGCGUGUAGGCGGAGCAGCAAGUCAGAAGUGAAAUCUCUGGGCUCAACCCAGAAACUGCUUUUGAAACUGUUGCCCUUGAGUAUCGGAGAGGCAGGCGGAAUUCCUAGUGUAGCGGUGAAAUGCGUAGAUAUUAGGAGGAACACCAGUGGCGAAGGCGGCCUGCUGGACGACAACUGACGCUGAGGCGCGAAAGCGUGGGGAGCAAACAGGAUUAGAUACCCUGGUAGUCCACGCNGUAAACGAUGAAUACUAGGUGUNGGGNANCUGACCUUUUCNGUGCCGCNGNUAACACAUUAAGUAUUCCACCUGGGGAGU
rnacentral:rRNA from 1 species